rnacentral:lncRNA from 1 species
AGUCUUAUAAUGGAUCUCUCAGUCACAUCAACGCCCGAGUCUAUGGUGAUGAUAAUGUUUGUGCAAAGUGGAUGCCAAGUGACUGCACAAUCAAGGUUUCUGAGUAGUUGAAAUAGAUAAGUCUUGAGUCAAUCAGUACAUCUGUACCACAUUCAUGUGGCAAAUGCUGCUUUAUGGAGAUGUUUCUAAUACUGACCUACAAUAAUUCAGCCAAGAUCACGUUUCUACUGUCUUCAGGAAAUGAGAAAAAUGAAUCCAGGAAAUUUCCAUCUUUAACUAUACUCUGUAAAUGUGCUGUCCAAUACACAGAUAGCUACUGAGCACUGGAAUAUAGCUAGUCUGAAUGGAGAUGUUCUGUUUGACUUUUUUGGACUCCACAUGUGUGAGAUCAUGCAAUAUUUGUCUUUCUGUGCCUGGCUUAUUUCACUUAGCGUAAUGUCCUCCAGGCUCAUCCAGGUUGUUGCAAAAGGCAGGAUUUUCUUCUUUUUUAAGGCUUGGAGAGUCAUUUGUUUUCAUAAGAGCGAGCAGUUAAAGUGAAAACAAGAUCACGGAAAAGGAGAUAUAUUUUGGUAGAUCCAAGAAUCUAUGUUUGAUAGAGUCUUCACAGAAAGAGUCGAAAUUGACAACAUGCUUAUUGCUUUGGCUUUGGAUGUUGGUUGGGAACAUGGUUCUUGAAUAUCCACACUUCAAAGUAGAUCUUACUUUUUGGAAGAGUAGAAAGCUCAUUACGUUGGUUAAUUUGAGAAGUAAGACAAGGGCUCAGAAAGGUACUAGUUAUUAGUACCUUAUACACUAGCCUGCCUGGCAUUCUUACCAUGACAGUGAAUUGUCAUGGUAAGAGUUGUGGUUUUAAACCUCUUUUCCCCAGAUGUUACAUGGAGUAAUAUAUGUAUCCACAUACAUAUUAAAGUAGGAGGUAGAUAUUAUAUUGACUGGUGACUUGAGGACAUGAUACACAAAAUAGGUAACGUUUGAUGAAGCUUGAAAUGAGCCAAGAAAGGACAAAUCUGGAUAACACACUGUAGCCUUGGUGAUGAGAAAGGAGAAAGGAAAGAUAAUGAAGAUGGGUAUCAUAUUGCUUUGCCUUGAAUUUGCAGAAAGAGAUAUUUGGAUUAUGAUGUUACCUUAAAAAAGGCAGUUGAUAUUACUCAGUGAAAGUUCAGAAGCCAAGAAAACUAUGUGUGUGUACAUAUAUGUAUAUAAUGUACAUAUGUUUAUUUCUUUUUUUAAAAAAUUCUUACCUACCUCUCUACUAUAACAAAAUUAAUUUCAUUCUUUUUUGUUGCAUUUAAACUUUAUCUUGGUAAUGUUCAUAUUACAAAUUUGCCUAUAUUGUUGGUAUUAUAUUGUUACUAUAUAGAUAUAUUUGUAAGCAUAAAUGCUUGGUAUUCAAAUGUUUAACUAGUAAUAUUCAUAUUACAAAUUUGCAUAUAUGUUUGGUAUGAUAUUGUUACUAUAUAGAUAUGUUAUAUUUGUAAGCAUCAAUGCGUGGUAUUCAAAUGUUUAACAACUCUCCAUUUUUUUCUCAAGUAACCCUCUGACAAAAGGCUGUAUUUAUAUAAAACUGACAGAUUUUUAUGGUGGAUCAUUUUUCUUACAUUAAUUACAUAGGUAGUAUUAUUUUAGUUGGAGGUCAAAUAACAUACUAUCAAUGACAAUUUAGAGAUAAAUUGUUUGAAAUCCUGAUAUGGAAGAGCUAUAGAAAUAACAUGGGUGACCUCACGUUUUUAAGAUAGCCUCUCUGCACCAUAUGGCUAGUCCCAAAUGGAGAUCAAGAAAGCAAGGUCAUUUUUAAUCUCUACAUACAUCUUGCUUUCCUGGUUUAACACUAAUCAUUCAUUGUAUUCUGCAUAUUGGAAGGGAGCAGAUGAAGGAUACUAAGAAUUCACUUUGAAAACAUGUACUCAAUGUUUCAUAUCCAAAAACUCCCAGGGAUUAAACAAUCAGAAAACCCUACAUCAUUUGCAUUUUAAUGGAUACAAAUAAGAGUUGAAACAUUUCUUUACACUUAAACUACCAUGAACAAGCUUAUAUAGCUAUUAGGAGUGAAAAUGGGGAGGAGGAGGAAGAAGGGGACUCUGAAAUUUAAGGAAAAUUCAUUUCUUUUACAGAGUUGGAGCUAGGCUGAUUAAGUCAAGGUGCCUAACUCUGCUAGAGACACAUUUUCCUAAUGAAAAAUACUGUAACUUCAGACUUUUCACAUUUUCCAUGAAUAGAUGUCAUUACUCAUUAUCACAUUUAUCAUUACUUGUAAAACAAUGAGGUGGCAGCAGGGGGGGAAAGGACUAAAAUAGAAUUGAAAAAAAAAUUGGUACUAGCUAAGGUAAUUUAAAUGAAGCUUUUUUUUUUCCAGAAGCAAAGGUGACCUCCAUGAUUACUCCACCAUACCUUUGGGAAACUGACAUAAGAUAGUGGACAACUAUAAUGGAAAGAAUAGUGACUACGGUUUCUCUCCACCCUCCUCUAAUUCUGCAUUAGAAAUGAAAAAAAGCUUGACUGGUAAAAUUCUGAAACAGACAAUGAGCUAUUUAAGUGAUAAUUACUGAAUCUCAUUUUUAGAAGCCCAUUAACAGGUAUCUCUUUAGUCAUGAGAAAAUUAUUCAUAAAUAUUAAAUUGUGUGAUCACAUUGCAAGUUUCUUUCAAAUUAUAGAAUCUGACUAAUUUCACAGUAACUGUUUGCCAUUAAUUGGCUUUAAGAUUUAAUCAAGUAAAGACAUCAUUGUUUAAUUCUAAUUUGUAAAGCCAAAAAAAGUGUAACAUUAUUAUCUUUAGUCAAACUUCUUCAAAUGUUUAUGCAAGGUAGAAAUUGAAAACAACAGGUACUCCUGUGCUUACAGUUUCUCCAGUUCAAAGAACAAAAUUCAUCAAUGGGAAGCUGCAGUGGAUUGUAGAGUAAAAUCUUGCUGCCCAACUAGAGAAUAAAAAGAGUUUGACCAGACUUAUAACAAUGACAUAAUGGCCAUUUUGUUGAGUUCUUAAUGAGUUUAGUAGGUAGUGAAAUGGGAAAGGUUCCCUUGUCCCCCUUGCAGGGUGUGUGGUGGGGGUGUAGCUUGCUUCUUCAGUGCCCCACUGCUCAAACUUCUAGGGGAGCAUACAGAUGGGCAGGUUGUGGGGCUCCAACCCCACGGCAGUGUCUAGGGGUGAAUGUUUACAGCUCCUGAAGUGCCAGUGGGCGUGUGUUACAGGGUGCUCUGUUAGUUUGCCCUCUCUAGGCAGCUUGUGUUAACCAGCUCAGUUGGACUUUGUUGCAAGGAUAGAAGACUUUCUGUAUCUCCAGGUUCUUGCCUUGGUGUACCAGAAGAAUCAAUCACACAUGGUCUUGGAGAAUGAGUGCAAAGUUUUAUUGAGUGCAGGUAGCUCUCUGCUGCUCUUCCACCAGUAUGCUCUCCACAACCAGCCGCUUGUGUGUUCUUCCACUGAUGUGUCCUCUCAAUGUCCAGACGCUUCUGUCUCUGCCUUGCUAGGAUCUUGGGCUUUUAUAGACCUUGGAUGGGGAGGUGGUGAGCCAGGGUGGUCUUGGGAAAUGCAACAUUUGGGCGUGAAGUCAGGAGUGCCUGUUCUCACCUAGGUCCGUGGGGGUAAAGCCCUAGCUAGGGACCAUGCCUUCCUCUACCCAGCACUUCCCUUCCUCAUUCUGUAUCAUUUAAAGAGACCACACUCCUCCCUUCCCAGCACUCCUGUAUCAGUAGGAAGAUAGAAGAAAACUCUAGAUCACCAUCAAGUUCAAGUCAUUUCAGAUUUUCAGUGAAUAUAUGUUUGCUGUGUCCUUCAGGUACCAAGAUGCAGGGAAAUGAUUAAAAGGCCCUGAGAUAUACAAUACUGAAUGGUAGGGAGGAGGAGGCCUUCUAGGUUGGAAAGUCCCGUAGCUGACUAGCUACUAAAUGUUCUAUCAGCUAUUGAUAAGACCGUGUUCAGAACAUACGGAAAUUGUAGGAUAUAAUUUUUGUAUGUUACUUGUCACCAGCUGUUCAAUAUUAUGAAUUAUUCCUGAGACAUUACAGAAGUUGAGAAUGAAUUGUGCCCAUAAACAGAAAACAUAUUAACCUAUACAAUACACUCGUUUUCCUUUUAGAGACACGAAUACCCCUAGCUCAAGGAGUCGAUAUGUAUAAAAUAGGCAACUAGGGGCAUGCAAAUAUUGUGGAAAUGGUGUUUCUGAUUGGCACUGGCAGAUUUAUUAUUCGAAAUAAUCCUGUUGGCAAAAAAAGGAAAUUUUUUUUCCGUAUCAUAAAAUCUGAUUUCAAAAACUUGCUCCUUUUUGACUUUCUCUAUAAGCUUGUAAGUCUGCAUUCUUCUCUCAUUUUUAUAUCCAGGCUCUAUUGUAAUUUAUCUGUUGCUAACCAGUUUUCAAUAAAA